rnacentral:rRNA from 1 species
AGCCAGACUCCUACGGGAGGCAGCAGUGGGGAAUAUUGCACAAUGGGGGAAACCCUGAUGCAGCGACGCCGCGUGAAGGAAGAAGUAUUUCGGUAUGUAAACUUCUAUCAGCAGGGAAGAAAAUGACGGUACCUGACUAAGAAGCCCCGGCUAACUACGUGCCAGCAGCCGCGGUAAUACGUAGGGGGCAAGCGUUAUCCGGAUUUACUGGGUGUAAAGGGAGCGUAGGCGGUUCAGCAAGUCAGAUGUGAAAGCCCGGGGCUCAACCCCGGGACUGCAUUUGGAACUGCGUGGCUUGAGUGUCGGAGAGGCAGGCGGAAUUCCUAGUGUAGCGGUGAAAUGCGUAGAUAUUAGGAGGAACACCAGUGGCGAAGGCGGCCUGCUGGACGAUGACUGACGUUGAGGCUCGAAAGCGUGGGGAGCAAACAGGAUUAGAUACCCCUGUAUUU